UUUUCCCAAAAAUGAAGACAAGGCAGAAGACACGGUCGUGCCACCUUCUGAACCCCAACAGAGUACCAUCAGCACUGUGAAGUCAAGGACGUUGGUGUCCAGACAGAGGUUUCCUGCCCUCCCAACUCGCUGCUGUUUUUCUGCACAAAAAAGGUGACCUUAGAUGAUGAGCCGCGUUGUCCUGAAGUCAAUGAGAGAGAUGAGCCAGUUUCCAGGCCGUGUACCCCAGCAGGUCACGGUGGGAGCCAGGGGGCCAUGCUAAGAGACCACGUCACACACUGCUGACUAACAUACGAUGACGAGUUCGUCAAUGAUGAGCAGCGGCAGAGAACAGCUUACCUGCUGUUCUAUGAUAAACAGUGUACACCGAGGGCCGUGGG
ensembl:lncRNA